AAGUUAGAUCACAGGAAACGACGCCGUUUUUGUCUCCUCAACUAACGGAGGACGAAAUUGAAAACAAGAUCAAAUUAAGUGGAAAAAUUAAAAAAAAACAAAAAGGAUUAAAUUCAAACAAAUCGAGAAAACAGAAGGACUAACACACAAAUAGGCCAUUGAAACAAAAUGCGCGGAUUUUCCCCGGGUCAAGUCGGGUCGCACACGGUUGAGCAAAUAUGACUCGUUUUGGGGCCACUGAUGCAGGCCCUAAACGACGCCAUUUCUUUCGCUGUACAAAACCUGUUUUGAAACCCUAAGUUAGCAGCCACCAGUGAAUCAACAAAAUCAAAUGCCUCUGCCUCAAAAUCAUGCUCUCAAACUGGCCGUUCUAAGAUCCCUCACUCGAUCACCGAUUGCAACGGAGUAAGCAAGGAAUCGAUCGCCAGGUAAACUCUUCAUUCUCUCACCUCUCUUUCUCUUUUAUUUUAGUACCAUUAAUGAACAAAAUGAGUAAAGAAAAAAAACAAAGAAAAGCGAAUAAAAGUUUAAAAUCACCUCUUUUUUUCAAAACUGCUAUUCAAUU
rnacentral:lncRNA from 1 species